rnacentral:rRNA from 1 species
CCGCGGUAAUACCAGCUCUCCGAGUGGUAGGGAUGAUUAUUGGGCUUAAAGCGUCCGUAGCCGGCUUAGCAAGUCUUCCGUUAAAUCCACCGAUUCAAUCGUUGGGCUGCGGGAGAUACUGUUGGGCUAGGAGGCGGGAGAGGCCGACGGUAUUCCCGGGGUAGGGGUAAAAUCCUAUAAUCCCGGGAGGACCACCAGUGGCGAAGGCGGUCGGCUAGAACGCGCUCGACGGUGAGGGACGAAAGCUGGGGGAGCGAACCGGAUUAGAUACCCGGGUAGUCCCAGCUGUAAACGAUGCGGGCUAGGUGAUGGGGCGGCUACGAGCCGCUUCAGUGCCGCAGGGAAGCCGUUAAGCUCGCCGCCUGGGGAGUACGGUCGCAAGGCUGAAACUUAAAGGAAUUGGCGGGGGAGCACAACAAGGCGUAAAGCUUGCGGAAGC